rnacentral:misc_RNA from 1 species
GAUGAAGAACGCAGCGAAAUGCGAUCAGUAAUGUGAAUUGCAGAAUUCAGUGAAUCAUCGAAUCUUUGAACGCACAUUGCGCCCGCCAGUAUUCUGGCGGGCAUGCCUGUUCGAGCGUCAUUUCAACCCUCAGGCCCCGCCUGGCGUUGGGGAUCGGCGCGGCCCUCUCCGGGCUGCCGGCCCCGAAAACUAGUGGCGGUCUCGCUGUAGUCCUCCUCUGCGCAGUAGCAACGCUCGCACUGGAACUCGGCGCGGCCACGCCGUAAAACACCCCACUUCUGAAAGUUGACCUCGGAUCAGGUAGGAAUACCCGCUGAACUUAAGCAUAUCAAUAGCGGAGGA